UCAAAAGAAAAGGAUUCCAGAGAAUUCAUUUUUCUCUAGCACUUCAUCUUCUACAUUUAAGAGAGAAAGGAAGAGGAAAACCAAGAAAGAAUAGAGAAAAGCUAGGUUUAGUGUUUUUGACUCAAUUUUAAGUAAUUGCUCCUAAAGAAGAUUGAACCCAUCAAUUACCAUCAACCUUGGAGCUAAAUUAGAGAUUCUACACGUGGGCGGAUUGGAGAAUUAGAAGGAUUGGAGUUAAUCAACGGGCUAGUUUAUAUUUUGCAAUUGGAAAAUUUGGAUUUAAGCGAUUGAGGCGUUCAGUAGAUAGCGAUCAGAUCGAGCCUCCACUCCUUGUUUCGGAAGGCUCCUUACUUUUUGCGUGUACAACUUCUGACUCUCUAGCGCUGCAGUAGUUCAGGCGUUUACUUUUGUCGAGGUCCUAUUAGCGGUUUAUUGUAUUUUGGGUUUAGUAACCGCUCAUGUCUAUAUCUUUUUGUUAGACCUCGUUUUCUGAUUAACAAACAAACAUCAGAGGUAGCUUUAGUUUAAAACGCUUAAUAUGUGUAUUUUGUAAAUGCUUAGAAUGAUACUUCGCAAUAUUUAUAUAUAUGUAUGUGUGGUUGUACAA